rnacentral:rRNA from 1 species
GAGUUUGAUCCUGGCUCAGGAUGAACGCUGGCGGCGUGCUUAACACAUGCAAGUCGAACGGAACACCCUAGAAGGAGUUUUCGGACAACUGAUAGGACUGUUUAGUGGCGGACGGGUGAGUAACGCGUGAGUAACCUGCCUUGGAGUGGGGAAUAACAGUUGGAAACAGCUGCUAAUACCGCAUAAUAUAUCUGGGUCGCAUGGCUCUGGAUAUCAAAGAUUUAUCGCUCUGAGAUGGACUCGCGUCUGAUUAGCUGGUUGGCGGGGUAACGGCCCACCAAGGCGACGAUCAGUAGCCGGACUGAGAGGUUGGCCGGCCACAUUGGGACUGAGACACGGCCCAGACUCCUACGGGAGGCAGCAGUGGGGAAUAUUGGGCAAUGGGCGCAAGCCUGACCCAGCAACGCCGCGUGAAGGAAGAAGGCUUUCGGGUUGUAAACUUCUUUUCUCAGGGACGAAGCAAGUGACGGUACCUGAGGAAUAAGCCACGGCUAACUACGUGCCA